UUCCGGUUGAUCCUGCCGGACCUGACUGCUAUCGGAUUGAUACUAAGCCAUGCGAGUCAUUGUAGCAAUACAAGGCAGACGGCUCAGUAACGCGUAGUCAACCUAACCUAUGGACGGGAAUAACCUCGGGAAACUGAGAAUAAUGCCCGAUAGAACACUAUAUCUGGAAUGGUUUGUGUUCCAAAUGAUUUAUCGCCGUAGGAUGGGACUGCGGCCUAUCAGUUUGUUGGUGAGGUAAUGGCCCACCAAGACUAUUACAGGUACGGGCUCUGAGAGGAGUAGCCCGGAGAUGGGUACUGAGACACGGACCCAGGCCCUAUGGGGCGCAGCAGGCGAGAAAACUUUGCAAUGUGCGAAAGCACGACAAGGUUAAUCCGAGUGGUUUCUGCUAAAGGAACCUUUUGUCGGUCCUAGAAACACCGAUGAAUAAGGGGUGGGCAAGUUCUGGUGUCAGCCGCCGCGGUAAAACCAGCACCUCAAGUGGUCAGGAUGAUUAUUGGGCCUAAAGCAUCCGUAGCCGGCUCUGUAAGUUUUCGGUUAAAUCUGUACGCUCAACGUACAGGCUGCCGGGAAUACUGCAGAGCUAGGGAGUGGGAGAGGUAGACGGUACUCGGUAGGAAGGGGUAAAAUCCUUUGAUCUAUUGAUGACCACCUGUGGCGAAGGCGGUCUACCAGAACACGUCCGACGGUGAGGGAUGAAAGCUGGGGGAGCAAACCGGAUUAGAUACCCGGGUAGUCCCAGCUGUAAACUAUGCAAACUCAGUGAUGCAUUGGCUUGUGGCCAAUGCAGUGCUGCAGGGAAGCCGUUA
rnacentral:rRNA from 1 species